AACGCGAAGAACCUUACCUGGGCUCGAAGCGCAGUGGACCGGGGUAGAAAUAUCCCUUUUCGCAAGAACUGCUGCGGAGGUGCUGCAUGGCUGUCGUCAGCUCGUGUCGUGAGAUGUUGGGUUAAGUCCCGCAACGAGCGCAACCCUUAUCGUUAGUUGCCAACGGGUCAAGCCGGGAACUCUAGCGAAACCGCCUCGGAUAACGGGGAGGAAGGUGGGGAUGACGUCAAGUCCUCAUGGCCUUUAUGUCCAGGGCUACACACGUGCUACAAUGGCCGGUACAAACCGUCGCAAACCCGUGAGGGGGAGCUAAUCGGAAAAAGCCGGCCUCAGUUCGGAUUGGAGUCUGCAAUUCGACUCCAUGAAGCUGGAAUCGCUAGUAAUCGCGGAUCAGAACGCCGCGGUGAAUACGUUCCCGGGCCUUGUA
rnacentral:rRNA from 1 species